CAGCAGCCGCGGUAAUACGUAGGUGGCAAGCGUUAUCCGGAAUUAUUGGGCGUAAAGCGCGCGUAGGCGGUUUUUUAAGUCUGAUGUGAAAGCCCACGGCUCAACCGUGGAGGGUCAUUGGAAACUGGAAAACUUGAGUGCAGAAGAGGAGAGUGGAAUUCCACGUGUAGCGGUGAAAUGCGUAGAGAUGUGGAGGAACACCAGUGGCGAAGGCGACUCUCUGGUCUGUAACUGACGCUGAGGAGCGAAAGCGUGGGGAGCGAACAGGAUUAGAUACCCCCGUAGUCCCUGUCUCUUAUAC
rnacentral:rRNA from 1 species